rnacentral:rRNA from 1 species
UGUUAACAUAGCCUAGUGGAGUAAAUACUAAAAACCACAGUUUUAAACUUAAAGAAUUUGGCGGUGCUUUUUAUAGUCAGGGGGACCUGCCUCUUCAUAUGAUAACCCACAACUGUAUCUCAAUUUUAGAAAACAGCAUGUAUACUAUCGUCGAAAGUCCAAUUCUAAAAAAUGAACAACUAAUAUUUAUACAGACGACAGAUCAAAGUGCAGCCUACAAAUUAGAGGACGGUGGGUCACAAUAACUAUAUUUACCCUAAAUAAAUUAUAUUAGGACUUGAAAGUAUGUAAAACCAAUAUUUUACAGAAUAAUAAUCAAAAGCAUGCACACAUCGC